AAAGUUAACCAUCGGUGUCUCUACAAGUUCAACACUUUCAUCACACACAAAUACACUCCUGAUGGCCGAGUCCACAAAGUCAUCAAAAGCCUGGACCUGAGUCUUAUGGAUCUUGGAAUUCUCACUUAGAUUCUCAAAUACGACAGUCAGGGGAUCCAACCCUAACCCGACACCCAGUCCAUAUCAGCAUUGCACAGAGUCUGAGCCAGAACACUUCCCUGAUGAACACCAGAAUUCACCGGGAAGACGUCAGCCACUCUGGAUCCAGUCGUCAGAUCUCACCUGUGUGUCGGCCCUCAAGCACUUCAAUCAAAAGUAGAAUUCUACAUGUAAAUCUGAUUUAAUCAUUGCUGUGAGGUUUUCUUUAGUCUACCCACAGGAUUGACUUGAUACCACCCACAUAAGUGUCUCCAGCCUCCCCAGUGUUUUCUUUCUUUUCUUCU